UGGAGACUCUGAUCUUGACCAGCUGACAAGGAUAUUUGAAACACUGGGCGCUCCAACAGAAGAACAGUGGCCUGGGAUGACAAGUCUUCCAGACUAUGUCACAUUUAAAUCUUUCCCUGGAAUGCCACUUCAACAUAUCUUCAAUGCGGCUGGUGAUGAUCUGCUCAAUCUUCUUCAAGGCUUAUUCACAUUUAAUCCUUGCACUAGGGUUACAGUUACUCAGGCAUUGAAACAGAAGUAUUUC